rnacentral:lncRNA from 1 species
AAAAAACGUGGAGCGUUGGAUGAAGCUCAUUAAAUAAGCUAGCAGAUCACACAGAUCACACAUGCGCGCCUACCAAACAGUUCAGUCAAUGCAAUCACACCUAGCCAUUAAUUAAGUCAUAACAUUGAGUGGCUAUGAUUAAAUCUGGAAAACAAAACGCACGACCAUGAUUUAAUCUGGAGACCAGACGGUGGUGUACACCACUGUCUUCUUCGGCCAACUUCUG